rnacentral:snoRNA from 1 species
AAGACUAUACUUUCAGGGAUCAUUUCUAUAGUUUUUGACUUGAGAAAUGUGUUUCUAAAGUGUUAGAUCUUGCAUUAAUGAAGUCAAAUAAAAUGACAUUCACCAGCAUUAA